CGGCGGACGGGUGAGUAACGCGGGGGUAACCUGCCUCAUACAGGGGGAUAACAGUUGGAAACGGCUGCUAAUACCGCAUAAGCGCACAGUACCGCAUGGUACGGUGUGAAAAACUCCGGUGGUAUGAGAUGGACCCGCGUCUGAUUAGGUAGUUGGUGGGGUAACGGCCUACCAAGCCGACGAUCAGUAGCCGACCUGAGAGGGUGACCGGCCACAUUGGGACUGAGACACGGCCCAA
rnacentral:rRNA from 1 species